rnacentral:sRNA from 1 species
GAGGGAUCAUUACUGAGUGUAAAAACUCCCAAACCAAUGUGAACAUACCACUGUUGCUUCGGCGGCCUCGUCCCGCGGAGCGUCUUCCCCCCAGGGGGCUGGCGCGGCCCGGACCCAGGCGACCGCCGGAGGACCCAAACUCUUGCCUUUAUAGUGCAUAUCUGAGUGGCAUAAGCAAAAUAAAUCAAAACUUUCAGCAACGGAUCUCUUGGUUCUGGCAUCGAUGAAGAACGCAGCAAAAUGCGAUAAGUAAUGUGAAUUGCAGAAUUCAGUGAAUCAUCGAAUCUUUGAACGCACAUUGCGCCCGCCAGUAUUCUGGCGGGCAUGCCUGUCUGAGCGUCAUUUCAACCCUCGGGACCCCGUUCGCGGGACCCGGCGUUGGGGAUCAGCCCUCUCCGGGGGGCUGGCCCCGAAAUCUAGUGGCGGUCCGCCAGCGAUCUCCUCUGCGCAGUAGUUGAUACCUCGCAGCUGGAUAGCGGUCGGGCCACGCCGUAAAACCCCCAACUUCUCAAGGUUGACCUCAGAUCAGGUAGGAAUACCCGCUGAACUUAAGCAUAUCAAUAAGCGGAGGAAAAGAAACCAACAGGGAUUGCCCUAGUAACGGCGAGUGAAGCGGCAACAGCUCAAAUUUGAAAUCUGGCCUCACGGUCCGAGUUGUAAUUUGCAGAGGAUGCUUCUGGCGACGUGCCUUCCGAGUUCCCUGGAACGGGACGCCAUAGAGGGUGAG